CCCCCACCAGAGGGCACUAGGCUGGAGAAGCCUUCCCCAGGUGAUCUUUUUCCCUUGCAUGGGGAUUUAGCAAAGGGGAUGAGUAGGUUUAUGGCGGUAACAAGGCACUGUCGGCAACAAGAUCUCAGGCCUGGAAGAGAUUUGCAGUGCCAGGAUUCAGCCCAGGAGAAUGAUGCAUGUGGCUGCAUACUCUUCCUGGCCGUAGCUGUCAACUUUUCCCUUUUCUUGCGAGGAAUCCUAUUCGAAAUAAGGGAAUUUCCCUUUUUUUAAAAAGGAAACGUUGACAGCUAUGUUCCUGGCCCUGAGUAGCCCCACAGCCUAGUUCAGGGAUGAGGAGGAGCCUGGUGGCUUCCAGUCAGGGGUGUCAACUUGAAUAAAAUAUGGGGGGGGGGAGGCUCCAGGUAAGCCCCACCCCACAUAAUCAUUCACAAGAUGUGGCACGCACGCACAGCAUUUGAAUGGCAAUGCCCAUCAACUUGGGGGAGGCCAAACCUCCUCAAAUACACCUACAGGCGGAAGUAUCCUAUCACCUCAGCCUUUUCUCAACAAAAAUACUUUUCAACUGAGCUGGUUCAAACAUUCAGCCACCACUUACCAAGUGUUCAGGGAUCAAGUCCGGGGGAAAUUUAACGAUAUCUUUGCAUUAAUUAUUUAAUUAUUGCAGUUAUACCCCACCCUUUUUCUCCAAGGAGCUCAUGGUGGCAUACAUGAUUCUCCCCCCAUCUCAAUUAAUCACCACAACCACCCCAUGAGGUAGGUUAGACUGGAAGAGGCAAUGACUAGACCAAGUCCACCCAGUGAGCUUCAUGGCUAAGUGGGGUUUUGAACCCUGGUCUCUCCCAGGCCCUUGUUCCUACUCUCUAACCACUACACCAAACUCUUUCUCAGCCCUGGUUGACGCCUUUAGAAUUAAUGAAUCUCACAUAUCCGUUCUAGAGAGGGAGAAGAAUGUUCUGCAUUGCCUGUGUCACAUAUACUGUACACUCGUCGUCCCGUGAGCAUCAUUGGUCAAACAAUUUUGUGGGACAGAAGUAAAAAGAGAUGGGCAGCAAAGGCUCCUGCAACUCUGAGACAACAACAAGAACAUUAUCAUCUGUCUUCCCAGUGUGUUUGGUUUAUUAUUAGACUCGGGAGAGAACGUGUUGCUAAAGCCAUCUGCUCCAGACUCGCAAUGCCAUUAAAGUGCCUGCAGGUUUAGAGAUGUGUUUGCUUACAGUGGUGCCCCGCAAGACGAAUGCCUCGCAAGACAAAAAACUCGCUAGACGAAAGGGUUUUCCGUUUUUUGAGCUGCUUCGCAAGACAAAUUUCCCUAUGGGCUUGCUUCGCAAGACGAAAAACGAAAACGUCUUGCAAGUUUGUUUCCUUUUCUUAACACCGUUAAUACAGUUGCGACUUGACUUCGAGGAGCAACUCAUAGAACGCGGUGUGGUAGCCUUUUUUGAGGUUUUUGAAGACUUUGGUGAUUUUUGAAGCUUUUCCAAAACUUCUUUUAAACUUUUAAAACUUUUUUGGGGGGUUUUGGAUUUUGGGUUGGGGUGUUUGGAAUUCAAGGACUUGGUGUUGGGGAGGGGUUUGCAAGAAUCUGGAAGCUUGUGUGGUUUUUUUCUGCAUUUUUGUGAUUUUCUGUGACCAUUGGGCCACUCUGCUGUUUUUUUAAAAAAAAUUCUGGAUUUGAAUUUCUGUGUAGUGGGUGGCUGGGGGAACAGUUGAGGAGGGGUUUGCAAGCAUCUGGAAGCUUGUGUGGUUUUUUCCUGCAUUUUUAUGAUUUUCUGUGACCAUUGGGCCACUCUGCUGUUUUCUAAAAAAAAUUCUGGAUUUGAAUUUCUGUGUGGUGGGUGGCUGGGGGAACAGUUGAGGAGGGGGUUCUUCAGCAAGAAGCAAAGAGUGGAAGAGGAACCUUCUUCGAGUUGUCCCCC
rnacentral:lncRNA from 1 species